AACGAGGUUCUGAUCAUGGUAUCAUGAGACCCUCCCCGUCCUGGCCUCCUGUGCCACAGCACCAGUGAACGGAAGAGCCUGAGGACUGGAUGUUUCCUUUCGCACCAGGAAGGGUCCCUGAGCAAGGAGUCGGGACCCGGUUCUGGCAGACCUCUGCCCCAGCCUAUGCAGUGUGGCCUCACAGAAGUCACAAAAACACAGUGAUGCACGUCAAGGUGGGGGACUCCUAAACGCACCCAGCCAAGUCUUCGCCUGCACACUGGAGG